GCUGAAAGAACUCUGUACGAACAGAUCUUGCUAAAUUUUAUCUUCCUUUAGUAUCCUCGUAUUUUACUUUUACACAAUUGCCUGUCUUCCUUCAACCUGCUAUAUAAGCGCUUAGAUUUUGCCACUUGUUUGAAUCUUCAUUACCUUAUGAGGGCUCAUGUUAUACAAAACUUAUGUUAAAUAAAUUCAUAUGCUUUUCUCUUGGUUAUAGUGAUAACUUCAGACAAAACUAGAAGCCCUUGAAUUUUCUCUUUUUUAAAGAAUAAUAUUACUCCAAUUUGAUAAGCAACGCAUUUAUGUACCAGAUAUGUAUAUUAAUGAAGAAAAAGUGGGUGGUAUCUACUGUUUGUCAGCACUGAUUGGCAUUUUAUAUACUUUCUACCCUCUCCACUUGAUCUCCUCAAUAAUCCUGUCAAGUAAAUACUAUAUUUUUAUUACAGAAGAAAUGAGACUUGGAGAAGUUAGGUAAGUUUCCCGAGACCACUCCAUUAGUAAGAGGUAGAACCACUAGCCUUCCAAACACGAACAAUUGGUUGCUUUAAAAUCACUUUGUAUGGAACCAAAUGUCUGUAUAAUGCCUCUAUUAGAUAUUUGACACAAAACUCUCCUUGAUAGAAGACACAGAUGGAGAUGAUAUUCUUUAUGUCGAGUCCGUAACUUUAUAUAGAUACCCACAUAGCAAGGUAUAGAAGAAAGAGUAAAGUGUUGGGAGUUGCCAAUAGGUGAGGUUUAGAUGAGAAACAGAGAAAAGAAUAUUUAUUAUCAUGGUGCUCCUAUAUGUCAGGUAGGAUGAGCAUUUUGGGUAUUGAGCAAAUAAUCACCUUCGUAUUGAUAUGUUCAAGUUGGGGUACUGAGGGACUUUUAUAAAAUUAGAUGAUACUGUAAAUACAUUUUCAGAGCCUGAUUUAAACAUUUUCUAACUUUCCCCUUAAAAAGUAUUUAUUGGAGAUGCUUGAGAAAGUAGAGACAAUGAGACUUAUUUUCUGACCAGAUGUGUAGCUUGAACAUCUAAAAAAAUAUUCACGGGGCACCUGGGUGGCUCAGUCAGUUAAACCUCUGCCUUGACUCAGGUUGUAAUCUUGGGGUCCUGGGACUGAGCCCCAUGUAGGGCUCCCUGCUUAGCGAGGAGUCUACUUCUCCCUCUGCCCCACUCUCCUGCUCAUACUUUCUCUCAAAUGCAUAAAAAAACCUUAAAAAUAUUCACAUCAUUAGCUUUGCGCAGUGGCAGUAUCGUAGCCAACGAGGUUUAUCCGAGGUGCGAUUAUUGCUAAUUGAAAAUAUUCACAUCAAGCCAUGUUGAAUUUGGGGUGCUGAAUGACUAUUAUUACUUAACCUCAUUUUAUUUUAUUUUUUAAUUUAAAUUCAAUUUGCCAAAAUACAGUAUAGCACCCAGUGCUCAUUCCAUCAAGUGCCCUCCUUAGUGCCCAACACCCAGUCACCCCAUUACCCACUCCCCUUCCACAACCCUUUGUUUGUUCUUAACCUCAUUCUAAAGGUGGGUAAAAAUGAGGUUAAGUAAUAAAAAGCCACCAUAUGGCAGGGGCAUAGGCCUGACUAGCAUCCAUCUGCUCUUGGCAGAUUUCUCCUCCUCUCCUUCCCUCCCAUUCUUUCCCCCUCUCCCUCCCUCCCACUUCUAUCUUUAUUUCCUCCUUCUGGGAGAUGACUGGCUGCAGGCUCUCUGUGCCUCUGUGACCAUUUAAUUCCCAUGACACCAGGUCAAGCACCAGUGGGCAUUUAAUACAGAAUAAUAAUUCUCAUUGUUGUGGUAAUGUGGCGGCCCAAGGUGUGACUGGAUGCCAAAAAUUUUCUGGAAGUCUUGUUGAACAGAGACUGGGAAGGAACUAGUCUUAGCGUGGCACAGCUCUAUGUGCCCUGUGUGUACUUCUGAUGUCCCACACCUGGUAGUAUUUGGAACCUAAUCACCUGGACUUUGGGAAGUGCUGCGUGAGACAGAUGUGUCUCAUGUGUGCCUGGUUUAGGCAGGCUACAUGGCUGGCCAAGCCACACACUGAUGACCUGAUGUUUCCACAUUGGAGCCUGCCACUCUCCAGCAUUUUGGGAAGGGUACAGCUCUAGGAUUGUGGCCAGGAUUGUGGCAGAUCAUGGGGACAGAGAAGAGGCAGUGUUUUGUUUAGAGAUAAUGGCAGCUCCUGGGAAACCAGGGAAAUUAGAAACUCAGAAGAUAUUCUGAUUUUUUUUUUUUAGGAUUUAUUUAUUUGUUUGUUUGUUUAUUUAUUUAUUUAUUUAUUUAUUUAUUUAUUUAUUUAUUUGAGAGAGAGCAAGAGCACAAGCAUGGGGAGCAACAGGCAGAGGGAAAACCAACCUUCCCAUUGAGCAGGGAGUCCUAUGUGGGACUCAAUCCCAGAACCUUGGGAUGAUGACCCCAAGGUGAAAGCAGCCACUUAACUGACUGAACCACCCAGGCACUCCAGAUAUUUUGGUUUUGUUCUCAUCUAAAGGUUUUAGGGAUUUAAGUGAGUCUAUCCCAGUCAAAUGUGCUCAGAGGUAAUUUUACAAAAAUGGAGUAUAGUUCUCUUUUAAAUUGGCACCCAAAGUGUAAUAUUUCAAGGUUUGGAAAACUGGCUUUCUUUUUUAAAAAUUCGUAUUUUACUUUCCUUGUCUCAAUAAACACCCCAAGUGUAGGUUUAGCAAAUGGAUGCAGUUCAGGCAAAUUUUGUGUUUAUACUUCUUUUUUGGUUAAUUUUUCUGCCAAGUUCACCCUGUGGGGUGGACUUUGAGCAGUGGAGACUACUCAAGAGAGCUGACAAAUAAGUUCUUUUCCAUCUUUUCCACUUACAUAGACUGCUCUUAGAAAUGGUGAUUUUAUGUAUCCUUAUUGAAGACAUCAUACGAUAUAAUCAGCGUGUUUUUUUGAAAAGUUCUGUCCAGAUGGCUAACGUAGCCCUGUGUAUUUGCUUUCCCUCUUUCCUGGCCUCACUUUCCUUUCCCCCUUGCACUUGUUUCCUUGUAUUAUACAUUUCAAGGUAAACUGGUGCCCCAGACCCUGUUUCCUAGUCUUGAGCUAAGAAACGACCCAAACUAUUCUAUAUUUUUAAGGAAAUGAGCUCUGUAAUAUGAGACAUUACCAACAGUAGCUCAGUGUACCCUGCCUCAAGAGCAGCAAACAUAAAAAUAAUGUUUCUACUUAUGGAUAAAAUUAAUAUUUGGAGAUAACUCCAAACUAGUGAUAUAAAAAGUCCUUCCACAAGGUAUGCUGUCAGGAAAAGGUAAGCUUUGAAAAUGGACACCUGCUUUACAAUACACACAACUGUACAUAACAGAAAAAUUUAAAAAAGGAAAACAUUGAAAUGUGUUUAUAAAAAGUUUGAAGGGAACAAAGAGUCUAUUUUUGUAACAUAGAGAGAGGAAGGACCUUUCUCAGCAUGAUCAAAUACCUAGAAGCCAUAAAGGGAAAGUAUGAAUGAUUUACCUAUAGUUGAUCACCUACAUAGGGGGAAAAAACAUGAGCAACACUAAAUGAAUUAGAUGUCCACCUUCUUUGACAGCACCAACAUCUAGCUGAAUCAGCUUGCCCUGACUCCCUGAGUACUAAAUAAUCAUCUGAUGAUAAUUUUAUUUAUGAUAUAGAUUGGUGUUAGGGAGAGAACAUACUGAGCAUAAAACAAUGAGAAUCUGGUCUACUUGGUAAUUAUCUUUCUUUUUUUUUUGGUAAUUAUCUUUCUAAUAGUAACAUACAUUAUCACUCUUUUUUAUUUUCAAGAAGAAACUCUACCCUACUUGAUGAUACAUUCUUUUCUCUGCAAACUUAAGAAUGUUCGAUAAACAGGGGACUCUGUGCCCAAACAAAGACCUUGUAUUAUUAUGCUUACUUUUUCACUUUUUGAAAUAUAAAUGAUCAACAGGGCCAGAGAGUUACACUAAGUCCAAUCUCAAUUGUGGAGUGAAUUAUGUGUACAUGAACCUGUAAGGAUAAUGUUACCCCUCCAAUAGCACUUCCUGCUCUCCCCAUCUCUCUUCUCCCUCCCCCCAGGCCUAUCUCCAAACCCGCAGGUUGUCCACACCUUAACCACAAGGCCUGAGGGAGACCUAAUGGACAGGAUCAAGUGUGGAAGUACACCAUUCUGAAAAACAAAUAUCUGCUCUCCUGCCUAAUACCACAGGUCAGGUCAGGGCAGACCGGGGGGCCAUUAUCCUAGUUUUCUAUACCCCAUGAUGGUAGCAAGGUAGUUCUGUUUUAAAGGCAAGGGAAGAGCCAUAGUUCAAAUGUAGAAACUAGAAAAAACCUUUAGCUUGGGAUGUGAUGUAAAACGAGUAUAAAAAGGUAGCAUUGAAAAUAGUCAUAAUCAUUCUUAGAAAGGCCAUUGUCAAAGGAACUUAGCUAGUCUCCAUUUGUCAACAUCACCGCUUUCAAACAUUAACUCCACUGUGUUUCCAUGCGUGUAGUUUGGGUAGUUUGCAGUAGCAAUAGUCUCUUCUUGUUAGGUGACACUAUAUUAGGUCAUGCCUCAAGCUGUGGCUUGAAGAACAGUGGCAAUGGCAGUGGCAAAAAUAGA
rnacentral:lncRNA from 1 species